GGCAGCAUGGUGUAGUGGUUUAAGUGUUGGACUUCGACUCUGGAGGCCAGCGUUCGAAUCCCAGCUUGCCC